rnacentral:lncRNA from 1 species
AUCUAGGACUGGAAGUAUCUGUUCUACCCUCCCCUGCUGCCUCCACACCUCUCAUUGUUACCGGGUUUUUUCUUUGUUUCCUUACCCUUGUCAUCAGCCUUGGAACUUCUAUCAUCUCUCCUCAUGACUGACCAACACCAGGCCAGCCGAAGGAAGGACAUGAUGCUGGCAUUCGAUGACAUCAAACUAAUAGGACUUGGAGGCAGGACAUAGCAGUCCAAGGAUUUGGAUGUCAUCUUCAAAGGAAGAGGUCUCACGGACUCCUCUGGUUCUGAUCAAGAAACUCACUUUACAAUUUAAGAAGAAAAUGGGCUGAUGUUUAUGGUGUUUAUGGUUCAGGUGUUUCUCCAUGUAUCCUGGCAGAAGCAGGCAGCCUUAAGCAGUCCAUAGGUUACAGGAUAUAAAGACGGAAGCCAGCUGGAACUAGAGAAAGAACAUCACCGAGAGAGAUCCUGCAUGUGAAGCUGGAUGCGCUGAUGAGACCUUGCGGUGUCUCCUUUUUGGACUGAGGAGUUCCCACCUGCCAGACGAAUUUAGCUCCCGUUGGCCUGGUUGGGGCCCCAGUUCUCUUUUUGCUCCAUAUCAAGAGGCUCACAGAAAACUUAGCAAUGCUGCAGGCAUAGAGAGAACCACCACAUCUUUGUCACUUGCAGCCUAGGACCACUGGGACCUAAAAGGAAAAGCAAGGGAAGUGGCUGGGUGAGGGGAGUGAGGUUAAAGACAACCAAUCUCAUUUGCAGAGUUUACAAAUAUGGUUCCCACUUGUUUUCUCACUGAACGAAAUCUUCAC